UUUUCAUUGGAUAAUGACUGUCAUAUGUCAUGUUCUGAUUGGAUGUCAACUUCAUGAAAGAUGAAAUACAUUGUUGUUGUUAUUGGUCAAUCAGAACAUGACAUGUGACAGUCAUUAUUC
rfam:Glycine max cultivar Williams 82 chromosome 1, whole genome shotgun sequence.